UAGGGAAUAUUGGACAAUGGGUGAGAGCCUGAUCCAGCCAUGCCGCGUGCAGGAAGAAGGCGUUAUGCGUUGUAAACUGCUUUUUGCCAGGGGAUAAAAUGACCGUGCGCGGUUAAUUGAAGGUACCUGGUGAAUAAGCCACGGCUAACUACGUGCCAGCAGCCGCGGUAAUACGUAGGUGGCAAGCGUUGUCCGGAUUUAUUGGGUUUAAAGGGUGCGUAGGUGGCCCUGUAAGUCAGUGGUGAAAUAUCUCAGCUUAACUGAGAGGGUGCCAUUGAUACUGCAGGGCUUGAGUACAGAUGAGGUAGGCGGAAUUGACGGUGUAGCGGUGAAAUGCAUAGAUAUCGUCAAGAACACCGAUAGCGAAGGCAGCUUACCAAGCUGUAACUGACACUGAGGCACGAAAGUGUGGGGAUCAAACAGGAUUAGAUACCCCAGUAGUCCCUGAGCGGGCUGGCAAGGCGCAU
rnacentral:rRNA from 1 species